rnacentral:rRNA from 1 species
AACGAACGCUGGCGGCAUGCCUAACACAUGCAAGUCGAACGAAGUCUUCGGACUUAGUGGCGCACGGGUGCGUAACGCGUGGGAAUCUGCCCUUGGGUACGGAAUAACUCAGAGAAAUUUGUGCUAAUACCGUAUAAUGUCUUCGGACCAAAGAUUUAUCGCCCAAGGAUGAGCCCGCGUAAAAUUAGCUAGUUGGUGGGGUAAAAGCCUACCAAGGCGACGAUCUUUAGCUGGUCUGAGAGGAUGAUCAGCCACACUGGGACUGAGACACGGCCCAGACUCCUACGGGAGGCAGCAGUGGGGAAUAUUGGACAAUGGGCGAAAGCCUGAUCCAGCAAUGCCGCGUGAGUGAUGAAGGCCCUAGGGUUGUAAAGCUCUUUUACCAGGGAUGAUAAUGACAGUACCUGGAGAAUAAGCUCCGGCUAACUCCGUG